ensembl:misc_RNA Metazoa_SRP Metazoan signal recognition particle RNA
GCCGGACGCGGUGGCGCGUGUCUGUAAUCCUGGCUUCUCGGGAGGCUGAGGCUGAAGGAUCGCUUGAGCUCAGGAGACCUGGGUGACUGUAGCCUGUGUCGAUCGGGUGUCCGAGCUAAGUUCGGCAUCGAUAUGGUGCACCUGGGGUAGCCCGGGGCUACCAGGUCGUUUAAGGAGGGGCGAACCGGCCCAGGUCGGAAACGGAGCAGGUCAAAGUCCCCGUGUCGGUCAGUAGCGGGAUCGCGCCCGUGAGCGGGCGCUGUCACCCAGCCUGAGUAAGAGAGCGGGACGCAGCCUCUA